UUACUGCAUUUUUUCUUACACAUGUGUUUUUCUUUUUUUGAAAACUUUGCUUUGGUAGGCCUUCUAUAUGGGGCCUGCCAGAGAUUAAACUCAACCAAAUUUUAUUUAAUGUCAACCGAUUAUUUAAUAGUCAAAACUUUCAACAACGGAUCUCUUGGUUCUCGCAUCGAUGAAGAACGCAGCGAAAUGCGAUAAGUAAUAUGAAUUGCAGAUAUUCGUGAAUCAUCGAAUCUUUGAACGCACAUUGCGCCCUUUGGUAUUCCAAAGGGCAUGCCUGUUUGAGCGUCAUUUCUCCCUCAAACCCUCGGGUUUGGUGUUGAGCGAUACGCUGGGUUUGCUUGAAAGAAAGGCGGAGUAUAAACUAAUGGAUAGGUUUUUUCCACUCAUUGGUACAAACUCCAAAACUUCUUCCAAAUUCGACCUCAAAUCAGGUAGGACUACCCGCUGAACUUAAGCAUAUCAAA
rnacentral:rRNA from 1 species